GACUGACUAAGUAUUCAUAUGAGUGUAUUAUGAUUAUAUUAUGACUAUGUCUAUGUGAAUCAGCUGUUUAUAUCUGACUGAAGCCGUGAUUACUCCACAGCGAUUCGCGGCGCCGGCGGUGAGAGCGUGAAACAUCAGCUGGGUCCACGUGGAAGUUCGAAUGAUAUUCGGCUCAACAUUCAAAGAACGAUUCUAGCCGACCAGACUAAUGUGGUGACAAGCGGUAGCUUUGUACCUAUCGCAGCCGUUGUGAAACAGCGAACCCCCGGACCAAGUCGGCUAUCCAAGAAGAAUUUGAAAAGACCGGCGGGGAUAGUGGUGGCUAUACCCUGCUCACCGCUGGCCAUAGAUCAGCCACAAAUUCCGUAUAAAAAGGCUCGCAAGGACACCACACCUAGUGUUUUAGCUCCGGAUAAUUUUAACCAGGUUAUCCAGGCAGUCAUAAACCCGCAAAUCGCGCAACAUGGGGCUGUAUGGUCUAAUUCCAAACACCAAGUGAUCGGUGCAGUCGAGGUGCAUGUGCCUGCGUCGCCUACAGAGACCGUCGCAGUGCAACCGGAUGGGACCAUACAACACGUCCAUGGAGAUCCCCAGUGUGCGCCACUACCAGUGCUGACCGCCGAUGAUUUGGCUGGUCUUGACGACCUCUCGUGCUGGUCUUCAUCGCUGUUGGACCAUAUCGACUUCACUCCAGCUCAGUGGAUCGACUCUCCUGCUACAUUCUUAGGGGCUACCACCAGUGCAGAGCCUGCAACACCACCAGCCUGCAGAUCCUGCAUCUGGAUCCCUACACGCCAUUCAAGACCCUAGCCGCGACCCCCCGUGCAUCGUGAGUCCAAGCACUCAUGAGGUAGCGGUGCCGCUGCUACCAGCCGGCCCCGCAAUUGCUGUUGAUGAACACCAUGUGGGGGUGCGAUGUGUUAACUGGCGUAAAGAAUUUGCUGAUAAAUUUGCCUUGGUAACUGCGGCGGUGGAUGUAAACUCCUUAACCAUUGCUCGUCAGAGUAAACUGGGUGUGUUGGCUGGUAAACGUGAUGAGCGUAGAUAUCAGGAUCUCGAAGAGCAGACGAAGCAGUCCUUCAUAGCCAUCAGGGCCGAGAUUGCGCGUGAUCGUAUGACUGGUGAAUCCCCAAACACUGAGACGCGUAAUGGUCGUGCUAUCGUUGCCCUUCAGCGUAAGCAUUUGGAUGCCGAGGCAGCUGUGCGUGUCAACACACAGGGCAUAGAGAGAAUUAACGCGCAAGAGGGGUUAAGAGCUGCUAAAACCGCUAGAAAAUUCUGGUUAAUGCAAUCUGCUAGCGAAGCUAACGUCAAUGCCUAUCGGGCAAUGAGUACC